CAGUGCCCACUUGACCCCAGUGAGUGCCAAUGAGUGCCCUCUGCCCCCAGCAGUGCCCACUGCCAUGGGUCAGUGUCCCCAGCCCAGGUCCAGUUGUCCCAGCCUCUCAUGCCACAGUGCUGCUCCUGCUCCCGCACGCCGGGUUCUGCCACCCUGCCAACCAAAAACCAGACAAGAACACCACAAACCAUGCUGGUAAUUACUGACUUCUACAGCACAAAGGCCUCGUGGUCCAGGGUGUCCAAAUUGCUCCUUUCAGAGGGGAAGCCAAAUGGCAGCAGGGCCCUGACUUUGUGUAGGGUGUACAUGCUCGGUCUUACAGAUGGAGUCACUCCUGUUUUUAUCAGUUCUGCACGAUAACAGGCAGAUACCCAAACAGAGGAUAAAAGGAAGGGGAAAAGCUGGGCUCAGAAUUAAUGAUGGGAUAAGAAAUGAACUGCUCUUGAGUUCGCUGUCUUUCUGUGCGUCCACCUCAGAACCCCGUUUCUCAUUUUUGCAUGACCAGAUCCAGGUUUCUGUAGAGUUCGUCUUUUUCUAUUUUUACUUUACCUUUUUCUGCAUUUUUAAAUUGAUGUAAAGAUUCCCAACCAGUGGACUUUUUAGUGUAGUUAAGAGAAUAUCUAGGUCUUCAUAAAAGCUUUUUUAGACUCUUUGUAAUGUUGAUAAACUGAGUUUUAUUCUGGGACUACCAUUGUGCAGGGUUAUUUAGCAUGUCUACUAGAUGAUUGGAAAUCUUAUAUGAAACACUAAAAGUGCCUCUUUUCUGGGUUGGGUGGAGGGGAGGUAGUAGUUACCAGAGUCAGAACGACAUGGCAUUUCGAAGCAUGUUUCUUGAUUUCGUGACACUUUAAUGCAUCUUGAGAGAAAGGCCAAAGAUUUCUACCAAUUUUGAUUGAUUUUUGAGUUUUAAAAAGCACUCCUUUUUCCUUACACUGCUUACCUCAUGCUAGGGCGUCUGACAGGGCGUUGUACCUUGGGAAUGUCCUUUGUGUUUAGGGACAGCAGUGGGUGGCACGGGCGGCCGUGCUGGUUGGUUUAAUUCUGGUGUUUAAUUCUGCUGGGGGGAAGACAUCCAUUACCACUGCAAACCGGGGGCUUCAGCCUGUGCAUUGGUUUUGUCUGUUAGCAAAGAGGGGAGCCUUGGGUUUUUCCAAGUUUUAUUUCACCUGAAAUCCCACAGUGUCACUCCACCCUUGCCAGGGCGAGCGCUGGAGGCAGCGGGGCUGUGCUGAACCCCAGGGUGGAUAAAGUGAGAUUCAUCCCUGUGAGCCCCCAGGGUGGAUAAAGUGAGAUUCAUCCCUAUGAGCCCCCAGGGUGGAUAAAAUCACCUUAAUCCCUGUGAGCCCCCAGGGUGAAUAAAGUGAGAUUCAUCCCUGUGAGCCCCCAGGGUGGAUAAAAUCAGCUUCAUGAACCCCCAAGGUGGAUAAAAUCAGCUUCAUCCCCAUGGUCCCCCAAGGUGGAUAAAAUCAGCUUCAUCCCCCUCCAGCCCCAUCCCCUCCGUGGGGUUUUGCCGGAUUUAGCCCAGUUCCUUUUAGGCUCCCUUCCCAAAGCCCUGUAGAGCCAUUCCUGGGUGGGAUCACUUCCACCCUCUCCAGACGCCUGAAGAAAGCAGAAGCAACAGUGUGGCAUGGUUAGAAGCAAAUACAGCUUCGGGAGACAGCAGUAAAUCUCCAUCAAGAUCCCUGACAUUUUCCGUAGGGAGAGAGACAUGGAGCAGUCCUCACUUCUCCCUUUAGAGAAAGCUCUGAAAUACCACGAGCUGUGAAAGUGUGACUGUCUUCACUGUCAGUCUGGUGGGAGGCAGACGAAGCAGGAAAAUCUGCCCUUUCGAGUGGAUUGCAGAUUUAGUGUUAAUAGUGCUUCAGAUCAGUAGUUUUGAGUACAUAAUUCGCUUUCUCUGCCUUUAAGUUUGAAGCUUGACAAUAACUUGAGGCAUGUUUUUGUUUUGUUUUGUUUUGUUUUUUUUAUUUUUGAAUAAUCAUUCAUUUUUACUUCAUAAUGUUUUUUGACAUUUGUGGGUAAAUACAAGAAAACAGUCUGCAUGUUGUUGCUAGUCCAGUGUACUUUGCAAUCUUGUCCUCAACAGACUGCAGUGUGCAGAACAGUAAUUCUAGAAUACAGAAGUAAUUUUCUCUCUCUCCUGACAUUGACAUUGUAGUUGUAAUGGUUUCAUUUGGAGUUACAAAUCCUUUGGGUCUAAUUCUGUGAGCCUACCUAUAGCACUGGAUUAAAAUGUCUGCAUCAUUUCUUCAGUUAUCCAGUUAAACUACAACUGUUGUAAAAGUGUAAACCAGCCCAUGACAGUUUUUUGUACUUGUUUAAAGGACUUUUAUUGUUCAGUUUUCAUGAUUAUUGUCUAAAGAAGACUGAUAUAGAUGUUCUAUACUGUCCUGGACCAUGUUAAUUACACUUUAUGAUGUAUUUUGGUUCUACAUCACAAUGAUUUGUCCCCAAGGCCCUUAUAUCCCUUCUAGGCACAUUUUCUGUUGCAGUUUCCCUUUGCAUUGUAUUGCUUUGACAACUGUAAUUUGAAUCAGAUCUGAAAGAGGUCCAGAAUAAAAUAUAUUUUGAUAUUA